GGAUUAGAUACCCUGGUAGUCCACGCCGUAAACGAUGGAUACUCGGUGUUAGGUUAUUCAAUCGACCUAGUGCCUAAGCUAACGCGUUAAGUAUCCCGCCUGAGGAGUACGAUCGCAAGAUUAAAACUCAAAGGAAUAGACGGGGACCCACACAAGCGGUGGAGCAUCUUGUUUAAUUCGAUAAUAAGCGGGAAACCUUACCUAGGCUUGACAUCCCGGAGAAUUUUCUAGAGAUAGAAAAGUGCCUUUUGGAACUCCGGUGACAGGUGCUGCAUGGUUGUCGUCAGCUCGUGCCG
rnacentral:rRNA from 1 species